CAGCCCGCGUGUGUACUGGUUUUCAAUUUUGCGCUAUGAAUAGGAAAAGUACGAUGGGUGGUGACACGCUGACUUACGUCAGACUUCCGGCGAUCCUCCUCCUCUUAACCGUCGCUAAUUCCGCCGGCGUCAGUGUUUCCGGCGAGUUGCCCGCUCUGAGCGUUGCAAAGUUUGCUUCAUUGCAGCUAUCCCCAAGCCUGGUUGUGGAGAAUUCCCCAGGUUCAAGACCUGGAUCUCACGUCGUUUGUGAAAGAGUCGAAAUUAUCGGCUUGCCAAGGCUUACAAAUCUCACAAGCUUCUUCUCUUCUGUAAAAGUUAAACUUACAAACGUAAAUUCCACAGGCCGUCCUCCAAGUAUCACCGUUUGUUUCCAUAGGAAUGCAUCUCUUGGGGUUGGUAUGUGCCCUGAAGGUCUGUGGGAGAAACUUACUAACGGGUCCUGGGUUUGAUCCAUGUCCCCAUUUGACCACAAGCUCUUGGAUAUACGUUCAGUGGGCCCUUCUGUGGGAACCGUUGAGGUUGUACUGAACGAAGAAUUUUAUCUGUAUCGUGUUGUAUUUUUUAUACUGGGAAUAACAAUGAUGACAUUUGCAUCGUCGUUAAGCAACUCGUUAGCAACCUACUACGGUGGUGCUAUGACAUUAGGGGUUUUGCUUGUUGUUUUGGUGAUCCUCUUUCAGGUAGUCAUGAAUUAA